GGCGACUGCGUACCUUUUGCAUAAUGAGUCAGCGAGUUGUGCGCUGCAGCAAGGCUAAGCCGUCAGGUGGAGCCGCAGGGAAACCGAGUCUGAAUAGGGGCGAAUAGUUGCAGCGUACAGACCCGAAUCCAAGCGAUCUAUCCAUGGUCAGGGUGAAGCGUGGGUAACACUGCGUGGAGGCCCGAACUCACUGAAGUUGAAAAUUCAGGGGGAUGAACUGUGGAUGGGGGUGAAAGGCCAAUCAAACUUGGGAAUAGCUGGUUCUCCCCGAAAGGCAUUGACGUGCCGCCUUGUGUAGCACCGUCGGGGGUAGAGCACUGAAUGGGCUAGGGGGCUUUCCGGCCUACCAAACCCAAUCAAACUCCGAAUUCCGAUGAGUGACGCGCAGGAGUGAGACGACGGGGGAUAAGCUUCGUCGUCGAGAGGGAAGAGCCUGACCGUCAGCUAAGGUCUCCAAGUACACGCUAAGUGGUCGAGGAUGUGGGACAACAUAGACAACCAGGAGGUU
rnacentral:rRNA from 1 species